CUACGGGACGCACCAGUGGGGAAUAUUGCACAAUGGGCGCAAGCCUGAUGCAGCCAUGCCGCGUGUAUGAAGAAGGCCUUCGGGUUGUAAAGUACUUUCAGCGGGGAGGAAGGGAGUAAAGUUAAUACCUUUGCUCAUUGACGUUACCCGCAGAAGAAGCACCGGCUAAGUCGUGCCAGCAGCCGCGGUAAUACGGAGGGUGCAAGCGUUAAUCGGAAUUACUGGGCGUAAAGCGCACGCAGGCGGUUUGUUAAGUCAGAUGUGAAAUCCCCGGGCUCAACCUGGGAACUGCAUCUGAUACUGGCAAGCUUGAGUCUCGUAGAGGGGGGUAGAAUUCCAGGUGUAGCGGUGAAAUGCGUAGAGAUCUGGAGGAAUACCGGUGGCGAAGGCGGCCCCCUGGACGAAGACUGACGCUCAGGUGCGAAAGCGUGGGGAGCAAACAGGAUUAGAUACCCUCGUAGUC
rnacentral:rRNA from 1 species